rnacentral:rRNA from 1 species
GAUGAACGCUGGCGGCGUGCCUAAUACAUGCAAGUCGAGCGAACAGACGAGGAGCUUGCUCCUCUGACGUUAGCGGCGGACGGGUGAGUAACACGUGGAUAACCUACCUAUAAGACUGGGAUAACUUCGAGAAACCGGCGCUAAUACCGGAUAAUAUAUUGAACCGCAUGGUUCAAUAGUGAAAGACGGUUUUGCUGUCACUUAUAGAUGGAUCCGCGCCGCAUUAGCUAGUUGGUAAGGUAACAGCUUACCAAGGCAACGAUGCGUAGCCGACCUGAGAGGGUGAUCGGCCACACUGGAACUGAGACACGGUCCAGACUCCUACGGGAGGCAGCAGUAGGGAAUCUUCCGCAAUGGGCGAAAGCCUGACGGAGCAACGCCGCGUGAGUGAUGAAGGUCUUCGGAUCGUAAAACUCUGUUAUUAGGGAAGAACAAAUGUGUAAGUAACUAUGCACGUCUUGACGGUACCUAAUCAGAAAGCCACGGCUAACUACGUG